rfam:Rhodospirillum centenum SW, complete genome.
GAGGCGGUCCGGGCCCCUCUGGCAGUCGAGGCGUCGGCUGUGAUGUCGGACUAUUUCC